CAAAAACCAUUUUCGUUACAAUGUUUUCCCAUUAAUUUGUGUACAUGAAGUUUAGGUGUUGAAUCAUUCGUAUAAAGACUGGCCUUAAUGUGGACUUGGUUCGAUGAUCGGUAAUUUUUAAGCUUUAAAAGAUAGGAUCCUAAUAAAGGGACACAAGGAAGACCCGAUUAAUAAGCCGACAAUCAAAUUUGAUGGAAGGAUAAUGAUGAUAAGAUAAUAGAGAUUAUCCAUCAAUUUAAAACAAUUAAAGAGAAGGUUAAAUCCGAAGUGAAAUUAAAAAGGAAUCAAAUGACUUGGGAUAAUAAUAAUGGUUAAAGAAAAAGCUGAACAAUUCAAGGAAGAAUAAGGUAAGAAAAUAUCAAGAGAUAAUAUUGACAGAUUGGUUUUUCUAUUCUAUUAGCUGAAUUAUAAUGAUUAUCAUCAUCAUCAUCAUCAUCAUCAUCAUCAUCAUCACCUUAAUGCUGGAAUAAGGGUGAUGGAUGGUUGAUUUAAUGUUGAAGGUAAAACAAAAAUUGUGACAAUUGACGUGAAUUCUACCUGUUUAUUUACGUCUAGUGUAACAUGUUUUUCAAUUUGAUUGUCCAUUUUUGAUUGUCAGGGCCUCCACUUCAUCUUAUAACAAUUUAACAAAUUUCUUCAUUCAAAAUGGCGAAUCAAAUUUCUUUUCUUAUAUAUUUAUAUUAAUAUAUUUUUCUUUCUCUCAAUUAGAUUAUAUAUUAAUUCUUGUCCUGUUUUUUUUUCUUCUCUUCAACAUUUUGGAUUCAACAAUUUUCAUUCCAUAUCCAAGUGACCUUAAUUGAAAAGGUCACACUUACCUUUCCUUUCAACAACAACAACAACAGUAACUUACCAACUACUAUUCAUACAAUUGAAAUAAUAACCACUUUCUCUCUAAUCCUAAUCAUCCACUAAUCAUUUCUUCAUCAACAUAAUAUAAAUAUAAACAUUUCUUUACAUGUAUUUUUAUAUUGUUGUUUUGGUAAGAAAGGACAAGGAAGUUUUCUCCUUUAAUUUAGAUUUACUUCUAGAUAAUCUUAACAAUUAACUUACAUUGGCUUCUAAACUUGGAUUUUCUAUUGGCUCACAAUCAUAUAAAUCCCGCUACUAUUACUAAUCCAACCAGAGUUUCCAAUAUUUUUAAGCUGAUAUGAUUUCUGUAUACACACCUUUAGUGAUUUAAUCAUUAACAUUCCUUGAUUCCAACGAUUCUCAUGUCAUUACCUGAGGAUCAUUAUCAUCAUUUUUUUUGACAAUCAGUGUUUGACAUCACUGUAUCUCUUUCUCGCUCUCUCAAUGCUUUGAGUUACAGAGGGAUUAUUGUAAGUUACAGUUUCUAGAUAAUUAGUUAUCUAGUUAUUAGGAAAAUUAACUGACUGAUAGUGCAAAAUAAGGGCGACGGUAUAAAGACAAAAAAAAAGAAAUGGAGGGAGAAUCAUUGACAAAGGUAAUGACGAUAGAAAAAGACAGCGGAAGAGAGAGAGAGAGAGAAGGUUAGGUGAGAUCAAUUUGGUGAAGAGGAGGAAAAGAAAAUGUAAAAAAAAAGA